rnacentral:rRNA from 1 species
CACGUAGGGUGCGAGCGUUGUCCGGAAUUAUUGGGCGUAAAGAGCUCGUAGGCGGUGUGUCGCGUCGGCCGUGAAACCUGCAGCUUAACUGUGGGCUUGCGGUCGAUACGGGCAUCACUGGAGUUCGGCAGGGGAGACUGGAAUUCCUGGUGUAGCGGUGAAAUGCGCAGAUAUCAGGAGGAACACCGGUGGCGAAGGCGGGUCUCUGGGCCGA